UUUUACGGCCUUAUUUACAUAAAAAAUUUCAACAAUUUUGUUUGGCAUCUACGCCUAUAGAAGAAAAAACUUUAUUUCCAUCAGACGUUACAAAAAGAAUGAAAGAGAUGACAGACGCUUCGAAGAUUAAUAAACAGCUCAUUACAGGUCAAAAUAUGGUCAAUUCUAAAAAACUUCAAUAAUUCAAAAAACUUCCGAAGCAGGUACAGAGGCACAGCACCAGGUUCAUACAGAGGGAGAAGAAUAGGCCGGUCAAGAGGCUACAGGGGAACAGCCCUAAGAAAGACAUAUCAAGGAUAUUGAAUCUUGAUUGGAAGAAUUCUGCAAAAACUGGAGGAAGACAAGAAGAGAUCUAUCAAAUUCCUUUUCGAACACUGUUCUGCGAACUUCUUCUUCAUAAUGGUGGA